rnacentral:rRNA from 1 species
GCAGGGCACUCCUGCGGGAGGCAGCAGUGGGGAAUAUUGCACAAUGGGCGCAAGCCUGAUGCAGCCAUGCCGCGUGUAUGAAGAAGGCCUUCGGGUUGUAAAGUACUUUCAGCAGUGAGGAAGGUGGGUAUGUUAAUAGCAUAUUCAUUUGACGUUAGCUGCAGAAGAAGCACCGGCUAACUCCGUGCCAGCAGCCGCGGUAAUACGGAGGGUGCGAGCGUUAAUCGGAAUUACUGGGCGUAAAGCGCAUGCAGGUGGUUUGUUAAGUCAGAUGUGAAAGCCCGGGGCUCAACCUCGGAAUUGCAUUUGAAACUGGCAAACUAGAGUACUGUAGAGGGGGUAGAAUUUCAGGUGUAGCGGUGAAAUGCGUAGAGAUCUGAAGGAAUACCGGUGGCGAAGGCGGCCCCCUGGACAGAUACUGACACUCAGAUGCGAAAGCGUGGGGAGCAAACAGGAUUAGAUACCCUGGUAG